rnacentral:sRNA from 1 species
GCCGGGCGUGGUGGCUCACGCCUGUGAUCCCAGCGGCUCAGGAGGCUGGGACAGGAGGAUAGAGAGUUCAGAUCAACUUAAGCAAAAAGCAAGGCCUUCAGCAACUCAGCGAGACCCUGUCUCUA